UACAGAGGUCUCGAGCGUUGUUCGGAUUCAUUGGGCGUAAAGGGCGCGUAGGCGGCGGGGUAAGUCUGGUGUGAAAUCUCGGAGCUCAACGUCCGAAAUUGCACUUGGAAUACUGCUCUGCUAGAGGGCUGGAGAGGAGAUCGGAAUUCACGGUGUAGCAGUGAAAUGCGUAGAUAUCGUGAGGAAGACCAGUGGCGAAGGCGG
rnacentral:rRNA from 1 species